rnacentral:lncRNA from 1 species
ACCCUGUCUCAAAAAACCAAAAAAAAAAAAAAAAAUAAUAAUAAUAAGAUUACUUCCCAGCAUCUGGAGGGACUUUUAUCAAAAUAGGGUUUGAGUGCAGGUUUGCAUAUAAUUUAGAGCCAUUGAUACUCAGUGCUGUAGUCGGAAUAUCCUUGCAAGUCAGUGUGACAGCUGUGUGGAUUUCACCAGAUUAUGCUGCCCAGUGAUAUUACUAUGGCUACACUCUUCAUAGUUAUUAAUUACAUUGUAAUGUGUUUUUCCUCAAUGGAUUUGAUUAGAUACAGUGACGUGAUAAUGCUUUUGUAAGCCCAGGCUGUGGUGGUGUGUGCAGCACUGGUGAGGCAGAAGCAGGCAGAGCUCUGAGUCUGAGGCCAGCCUGGUGUCUAGAGCUCGUUUCAGGACAUCCAGGGCUACACAGAGAAGCUUUUGUCUUGGAAAAAAAAUAUCAGACAAACAAAGAAACAAAAAAAGAAUGCUUUGCCAGCGUAGUUUAAAUUUCUAGCAAGAUUAUUUCCAGUGUUCUUCCACCCUAGUGCUUUUCCCACCUUGAAAGUGAUUGUAAAGAAAAUUAUUUUAGUUUUUUUUCUUCUUUUUCUUUUUCUUUAUUGUCAAAUGUGUGUGCCUUAACAGGAUGUUGAAAAUGAGCAAAAGAAAAUAAGCUUUGAGAGAGGCCUCAGUUCUCACUUUUCUCAGUUGUGGCCUUGGGCAGCAGUUGCUAAUGGAUACUAGUAGUCUCUCUUUGAAGAACCAGGCCACUGGUUUCUGAAGGUUGAAGGCUGAUCAGUCAGUGGUAUUAAAAUCAUAAAUGUAAUUUUAGGUGACUCUUGAAGCUGAAAUUUCUUUUGUUAACAAUGAGGUAGCAGUUAAUUGGUGAUCAAGGAAUUUACUUUUUAAUCUUUUCAGUACAUCUUAAAGUUUUUUAAAGAAAAAUUGUUCUUUUUAAGAUUUGACUAAUGUUACAAAGAUACAAAUCAUUUAUUUUACUACCUAUAAACUGUUUCAGCCCACUGAAGAAAAGCUAUGCUAAUUUAUAUAGCUUUGACAUUUUAUAAUUUUCAUGAUUUUUAGAUAAAGGAUUUUAUAUUUAAAACUUUAAUAGUCUAGUCUGAGUUCAUUUAUCUUUAAUUUUUGAAACGGGUAGAGUAAUUCAUAACAGUAAUUUUAUUCCUGUAAUGUAAUAUUCACUUCAGUUCAUUUGUGCAUUAAAAUUCCUUUAAGACCGUUAUUAAUGAUUUAUAUAAUGAAAUGUCAUAUUAAUCACAGAAGUUUUCACAUUUUAUUAUUCUCUUCCAUGUUAAUACUAUCUUUAUGAUCUCUAUUAAUGUUUUAUAUCCUCUAAUUUCAAUUAUAAAUCAAGAAUAUUUUCAUGUUUUUGUUGGUAUUUGCUUUUCAGGGGUGCCACCUUUAAAAUUUUAUGACUUUUUCCCUCCAUAUGCAAUAUAAAACAUCUUUAUUCAUAUAAAGGUAGUUAAUUAUGUCUUUGUUUAUAGUAAACUUUCAUUGACAAACUUAUAGUUAUAAUAUUUCUUUUCAAGCUCAAAGAUUAGAACGACUCCGCAAAGAGAGACAAAACCAGAUCAAAUGCAAAAAUAUUCAGUGGAAAGAAAGAAAUUCUAAACAAUCAGGUAAAUAGACAUAACUUUCAUUUAUGAUUUGGAAUUUGUAUAUUUAGUUUAUAUCAUUAUGUAUGGGUUUUUUUCUUUUAAUCUCUCUUUCGAAGUGUAUGCCAUUUGUGUUUUAAGCUUUGUGCUCUGUCUGUGUGUGUUAACCUCUGAAGCUGUGUGUUCCUUAUGUGUUGUUGCCUGGCCCCUGCACGCUGGUUCUCAGGACUUAGUUAAUUUGGGCAAAGGGCCUUUAAAAGCACGACUCUGGUACCUUGUUCUUGGGACCAAGGAGAGUAUAUACUUUUUAAAAUCUGUUUAAGUUACAGAUUCAUUCAUACAGUUCUAUUUUUCUUUAUUCAUUCUUUUAUUGUUUCUACACACAUAAACAUUUGUUGAAUCAGAGAUCAGCUUGCAGCAAUCCAUUUUCUCCUAUUGUAUACAUUCAGAGAAUUAAACAUGGGUUCUUGUUAUGGCAGCCAGAACCUUUACUGGCUGAGCUACUGUGCUGGCCCCAUUUGUGUAGUCCUAACCUAGACUUUUUACAUGCUUCAGUGUCCAUAAUAGCUACCUUUUCUGCUUACAUGUGUUGACUCUUUCAGUUAAAAAUCCAAUCUGGGAUUGUUAGCAUUGAGAUUUUAUGUGUUCAUACACUAUAUGUAUAUAUAGGCUGGCUGGCCAUAUAAUAAUAAUAACAAUAACAAUAAUAACAAUAAUAAUAAUAAUAAUUAUUAUUAUUAUUAGACUGGCCUUAUUAUUAUUAUUGUUGUUGUUAUCAUCAUUAUUAUUACUACUUUUUAAGUUUUUACUAUAGACAUUUUCUUUACAAUUGAAACUCUGGGCUUUUAAAAUCCUUGCCUGUGAGCUUCUUACCCACUCCAGACAAAGUUUUGACCUUGUGCUCCAUGUUGUUGUCUAUGCCUUGUCUAAUGAGUCUGUAUGCUGUCUGCCAUCAGGCUUUGCACAGACUCUUUUCCCACAGUGUGACCUGGAGAGAGCAAGUCCUCCUGGCUGGUGAUCUGUGGUGGCGUCAGGGCAGCUUUGGGUGCUUUUGUUUAUUUUCACAUGUCUUUUCCCAGCUGGCUUGGGCAGACCCCACCUCUGAGCAGUGAAGACAACAUGCUUCUCACUUCUCCAGUUCACAAACUGGCCGGAUUGGGAUUUUCUGGGAAGAUUUCAGCUGAGGAACUGGCACAAAAGUCAUGAUAGCUUUCUGAGCACUACCAAUUUCACUUUCCUUGGCUGCAGUGAUACUGAGUUCCUGGAGCUAUGCCUUGAGAUCAGAGCUCAUCUCCUGUGCAAGCAGCGCUUGAGAGAUCCCUGACUCAAACUUGUCUGGCUUUUUGCCAUUGGGCUUCAUAAUCUCAGUGCUCAGAUUGAACAUGGCCUUGUCUUUAUGGCUUAGAAAGACAUAAAAAAUUAGAAAAUAUUACAUAUUUUCAAUAUUUCAUUUUCAUC